rnacentral:tRNA from 1 species
CCUAUCGAUAGCUCAGAUUGGUAGAGCGGCAGGACUGUAGUUGAAAUAUAGCUACAUCCUCUAGGUCACGGAUUCCAAUUCCGGUUCGAAGGA